rnacentral:rRNA from 1 species
UGGGGAAUUUUGGACAAUGGGCGAAAGCCUGAUCCAGCAAUGCCGCGUGUGUGAAGAAGGCCUUCGGGUUGUAAAGCACUUUUGUCCGGAAAGAAAUCCUUGGCUCUAAUACAGUCGGGGGAUGACGGUACCGGAAGAAUAAGCACCGGCUAACUACGUGCCAGCAGCCGCGGUAAUACGUAGGGUGCAAGCGUUAAUCGGAAUUACUGGGCGUAAAGCGUGCGCAGGCGGUUUGCUAAGACCGAUGUGAAAUCCCCGGGCUCAACCUGGGAAACUGCAUUGGUGGCUGGCAGGCUAGAGUAUGGCAGAGGGGGGUAGAAUUCCACGUGUAGCAGUGAAAUGCGUAGAGAUGUGGAGGAAUACCGAUGGCGAAGGCAGCCCCCUGGGCCAAUACUGACGCUCAUGCACGAAAAGCGUGGGGAGC